rnacentral:lncRNA from 1 species
AGAAUACGUAGGAGCAAGGUCAAUCUUUGUCGGGCACAAAAAACACAAAAAAUAUUUUGUUUUCUUUAGAGUUUUAUUUUUAGGGGAUAUUAAACAUUUUGCAAACCACAUCAAAUUCGCGUAUUUAAUUAAAGGUACUGCCUUCGGGCGGACGUUGUAGGGUGCUAAUACCUUCCCUACACGUAACCGACUCCCGAACCCGUAAUCUGGUUUUCGUGGACCUUACCUUAUCAUUUUAUGGUUUUUCCGUAGUUUUCCAGAAUAAACUAUGGUGGCGACUCCAAAAAACUUUUUUUCAAAAAUCAUGUUUUCAUUUUUGGAUCGUCGUCGUCGUCGCGAUUUUUCGGUUGCGACAGAUGGCGACUCCACUGGGGACUCGAGAGUCAGGCCAUUUAAUUAGAUGCGCGAAUUCGAUGUGGUUUUGCUUUGUGUUUUUCUUUCCCUUUUCUUAUCUAUGUUUGAUGUUUGAAAUAAUUGCAUGUGAUUUUCUUGUAUAUUCAACCCUAGGCUAGAAAACAGUUUAUAUCUGCCUGGGAAUCUUCUGUUUGUUUUGCAGGUGAGGGUUUGGGUGCAUUGCAUUCUCCCUUCACACACACAUAUUAUGCAUUUAUUGAGUGGGGCCCUAUACCCGGGUUUGAGCGUAACUUAGAAUUAAAGGAGUUGUGUAGCGGUGUCACUCUGGGAUGUACUUCCUGUCUGGCUAUCGUGAGAAUUCCAGCUAGAGUCUGUUCUCUUCACUUGUGUCUCCCCAUCUAGUUGAUUACUCGACUGUUGUGGAGAUGCUAUGAAGGGGGCCAUAGCUCUAGUGACUAUCGACCUUUAGGUUUAGGGGACCAUCCUGGUGAGAUUGCAUAUACUUGACCUUGAAUCUUAAGCAUCAAACCUCUGUUAAAGCACAAAGGGAGAUGUGUUCGGUUUUAUAACCCUCGUCUUUGCUGAAUAAAAUUUUGC